rnacentral:rRNA from 1 species
UGGCGGCGUGUCUUAGCAUGCAAGUUGAGCGGCAAGGGCAGCAAUGCCCCUAGAGCGGCGGACUGGUGAGUAACGCGUGGGUGAUCUACCCAAGGCAUGGGGAUAGCCAUUAGAAAUAGUGGGUAAUACCGAAUACGCUUAUGCAGGUGAGCUGCAUAAGGAAAGGUGCUACGACACCGGCCUAGAGAUGAGCCCGCGUCCCAUUAGCUAGUUGGUGAGGUAACGGCCCACCAAGGCGAUGAUGGGUAGCCGGCCUGAGAGGGUGUACGGCCACACUGGGACUGAGAUACGGCCCAGACUCCUACGGGAGGCAGCAGCUAAUAAUAUUCCGCAAUGGACGAAAGUCUGACGGAGCGACGCCGCGUGGAUGAAGAAGGCCGAAAGGUUGUAAAAUCCUUCUGCUGAGGAAGAAUAAGUGUGGGAGGGAAUGCCCGCACGAUGACAUGAAUCGGCGAAUAAUCCCCGGCCAACUACGUGCCAGCAGCCGCGGUAACACGUAGGGGGCGAGCGUUGUUCGGAAUUACUGGGCGUAUAGGGCAUGUAGGCUGUUAUGUAAGCCUGGCGUGAAAGUCCACCACUUAACUGUGGGAUUG